rnacentral:tRNA from 2 species
GCAUCCGUAGCUCAAUUGGAUAGAGCACCGGUCUUCGGAACCGGGGGUUGGGGGUUCGAAUCCCUCCGGGUGUAC